rnacentral:rRNA from 1 species
GUCCACGCCCUAAACGAUGUCUACUAGUUGUCGGGUCUUAAUUGACUUGGUAACGCAGCUAACGCGUGAAGUAGACCGCCUGGGGAGUACGGUCGCAAGAUUAAAACUCAAAGGAAUUGACGGGGACCCGCACAAGCGGUGGAUGAUGUGGAUUAAUUCGAUGCAACGCGAAAACCUUACCUACCCUUGACAUGUACGGAAUCCUGAAGAGAUUUAGGAGUGCUCGAAAGAGAGCCGUAACACAGGUGCUGCAUGGCUGUCGU